CAGAAUACCAAGAGCUUGUGGCAUUGCCUAAGUGACUGAUGGCCACACACUUCUCUGCAGGGGGCUGUGGGAGGCUGUAGCUGUGACAGGAGCCAGGGGCCCAGGAGGUGUGGAAGUCAUCACCCACCAGGUAACUGGUUCCAGACCUGUCUGUAAAUGCCUCACUGCCCCACAAAUACCACAUAUGAAUAGCCAUUGAAAACACAGGAAAGAGGAAUGCCCAUGACUUUCUAGCACUGUUGUGUAUAGAAUCUAAAACAAGCAAACAGAAGAAUGGAGAAUGACAGUUGGGUUCUGAAAAUGUAAUAACAUGAUAUUUGCAAUUUCAAAAGUAUUUUGCAUUCUGAACCAUGGAUUGCAAACCUUGGAAAUUGGUAUUGAUGCCUUCUCCUCCUCCUCAUGCUGCUGCUGCUCCUGCUGCUGCUGCUGCUGAUGAUGAUGAUGAUGACGACUACAACGAUUGAUGAUGAUGACAACGAUGAUGAUGUUGCUGCUGGUGGUGAUGUUGCUGAUGCCUACUUGGAGUAUGAGUCUGCUUCUCCAAGUUAAAGGGCACAUAGCCGAACAGGGAUCUGUUCUGCCAACAAUCCUGAAAAAUCAUCUGCCGAGUGUCACCUGAAUAACAGUGCAAUCUGUGUGAACCAUGGUGCUCUUGCCAAUUACCACCAUGCAGCCUGUGAGUCAUCUAAGGAGAAAGCAGUCAUGGA
rnacentral:lncRNA from 1 species